rnacentral:rRNA from 1 species
AACGAACGCUGGCGGCAUGCCUAACACAUGCAAGUCGAACGCGUGUAGCGAUACACGAGUGGCGGACGGGUGAGUAACGCGUGGGAACCUGCCCAAUGGUAGGGAAUAACUGCGGGAAACUGCAGCUAAUACCCUAUGCUCCCUACGGGGGAAAGAUUCAUCGCCAUUGGAGGGGCCCGCGUCGGACUAGCUAGUUGGCGGGGUAAUGGCCCACCAAGGCUACGAUCCGUAGCUGGCUGAGAGGAUGAUCAGCCACACUGGGACUGAGAUACGGCCCAGACUCCUACGGGAGGCAGCAGUGGGGAAUAUUGGACAAUGGGGGAAACCCUGAUCCAGCAAUGCCGCGUGAGUGAAGAAGGCCUUAGGGUUGUAAAGCUCUUUCGGCGGGGACGAUGGUGACGGUACCCGCAGAAGAAGCCCCGCUAACUUCGUGCCAGCAGCCGC